UCUCCUCCUCUAUGGAUGCUUACACUUAGGGCAUGUUUGGUUCAUGAUUGAAAUAGGAAUGGGAAAUGGAAUUGGAUUGCUUUGGAAUGGAAAAUGGAAUGACGAAUCAUCCAAAAAUGUUUGGUUCAUUAUUGGAAUGGAAAUCGGAAUGAAAUUUUAAAAUUUUUUAGAGAGGGUUUUGAUUAAGAGAGAGAAAAGUGAUGAAGGGAGAGGGGAUAGGUGUUGAUGAAAAAGAAUUUUGAAUAGUUUACUUUGGAAUGAACCAAUUCGGAAUUCAAAGCCGGAUUGGAUUAUAAAUGGAUUUGGUCAUUCCCAUUCCGGAGUGGAAUGAAAAUCGGAAUCCGAUUUCUAUAAAACAAACGGCAACAAUCGGAAUCAAUGAAUUCCAUUCCGAUUCCAUAGUCUAAAAUAGGUGAACCAAACAUGCCCUUAGAGUUUGAAAUAAGGAUUAGACUUGAAGAAGAGAGUUAUUUGGAGC
rnacentral:lncRNA from 1 species